rnacentral:rRNA from 1 species
GACGAACGCUGGCGGCGUGCUUAACACAUGCAAGUCGUACGGUAAGGCCCUUUCGGGGGUACACGAGUGGCGAACGGGUGAGUAACACGUGAGUAACCUGCCCACAACUUUGGGAUAACGCUAGGAAACUGGUGCUAAUACUGGAUAUGUGCUCCUGCUGCAUGGUGGGGGUUGGAAAGCUCCGGCGGUUGUGGAUGGACUCGCGGCCUAUCAGCUUGUUGGUGGGGUAGUGGCCUACCAAGGCGGCGACGGGUAGCCGGCCUGAGAGGGUGACCGACCACAUUGGGACUGAGAUACGGCCCAGACUCCUACGGGAGGCAGCAGUGGGGAAUAUUGCACAAUGGGCGCAAGCCUGAUGCAGCAACGCCGCGUGCGGGAUGACGGCCUUCGGGUUGUAAACCGCUUUCAGCAGGGACGAAGCUUUUUGUGACGGUACCUGCAGAAGGAGCACCGGCUAACUACGUG